CCCUACGGGGUGCUGACCGACACAAGCGCCGAGAGUUGGGACACCAAAACGAGUUGCGGCGCGACUGUGUUGGCUACCCUUAAGGUUCUGAGCGAGUAUCAGGGAGACAAGGAAGUGGCCCAGCUCGCUGAUGCGGCCAUAUCAGCCAUACAAGGCGAACUUCUGGUUUUAGCCGAUGAUUGGCAGGUGGUCCUGUCCAGCGUGGACAGCCAUUCGGUGGAGCGGCUGGAGUCGCACCGCGAAGGGGCGGUACCCUUCAAAUUUACGAUUAUUGACACCAAGGAGUGAUGACAGAUGCCUUUAAUUCCAAGCGAUGGCGUGGAUUUUUUACUCAAAGUGAAUACCGGAACGACGGAGACGCCGGUCUGGACAGUGAUCGGCGGGCAGCGGGGCGCAACUCUCAGCCUGACGGCCGAGCAGAUCGACGCCUCCAACAAACAGUCGGGAGGGC
rnacentral:rRNA from 1 species